UACGUAGGGUGCGAGCGUUAAUCGGAAUUACUGGGCGUAAAGGGUGCGCAGGCGGCGUCGCAAGUCAGGCGUGAAAUCCCCGGGCUUAACCUGGGAACUGCACUUGAAACUACGAUGCUGGAGUAUGGCAGAGGGAGGUGGAAUUCCACGUGUAGCGGUGAAAUGCGUAGAGAUGUGGAGGAACACCGAUGGCGAAGGCAGCCUCCUGGGCCAAUACUGACACUGAGGAGCGAAAGCGUGGGGAGCGAACAGG
rnacentral:rRNA from 1 species